GACAAAGGUACAGGGAAUAGGACAAAGGUACAGGGAAUAGGACAAAGGUACAGGGAAUAGGACAAAGGUACAGGGAAUAGGACAAAGGUACAGGGAAUAGGACAAAGGUACAGGGAAUAGGACAAAGGUACAGGGAAUAGGACAAAGGUACAGGAAUAGGACAAAGGUACAGGAAUAGGACAAAGGUACAGGGAUAGGACAAAGGUACAGGGAUAGGACAAAGGUACAGGGAAUAGGACAAAGGUACAGGGAAUAGGACAAAGGUACAGGAAUAGGACAAAGGUACAGGGAAUAGGACAAAGGUACAGGGAAUAGGACAAAGGUACAGGGAUAGGACAAAGGUACAGGGAUAGGACAAAGGUACAGGGAAUAGGACAAAGGUACAGGGAUAAGACAAAGGUACAGGGAUAGGACAAAGGUACAGGGAUAGGUACAGGGAUAGGACAAAGGUACAGGGAUAGGACAAAGGUACAGGGAAUAGGACAAAGGUACAGGGAAUAGGACAAAGGUACAGGGAAUAGGACAAAGGUACAGGGAAUAGGACAAAGGUACAGGGAUAGGACAAAGGUACAGGGAAUAGGACAAAGGUACAGGGAUAGGACAAAGGUACAGGGAUAGGACAAAGGUACAGGGAAUAGGACAAAGGUACAGGGACAAAGGUACAGGGAAUAGGACAAAGGUACAGGGAUAGGACAAAGGUACAGGGAUAGGACAAAGGAUAGGACAAAGGUACAGGGAAUAGGACAAAGGUACAGGGAUAGGACAAGGGGACCUGGGUUGUACAGCCUUGAACGAGUCUUACUGUAGUCUGGCAGGACUAGCCUGGGUUAGAGCCUCAUUGACCUACGCCACGGCGUGGUUCGUCGCACAGCUUCCCUUUUAACCCAGCGCCCUGUGUGAUGUCUCUCUGUGUCUGUCUGUCGCACGGCACAGAAAUCUUUCAAUGUUUCCUCUCAGCGCGGGAGGCGGCGAGGAGCCGAGAGAGGGAGAGGGCCAGCAGCAGCGCCGGGGGAGGCCUGACCUCAGGAGGAACCAGAGGAGGAGGGGGAGGGGAGGCGGAGGCCUCGACAUCCCAGGAGGAGAAUCACGGGGAGAGACGGCUGUACGGGGCUGCCUGAGGGACAGGACCUGUACACAGCCGCCUGUAACUCUGUGGUCCACCGCUGUGCUCUGCUGGUGCUGGGGUCAGCUCUGUACUGGGGGAACUGGGGAAGGAGCACCAGGACGAGGGACACAGCAGCUUCCAGUCAGUCGGACUGGGACAGCAGGACGGGACGGGCUUCAUGACCAGGAGUGAGAGUCUCAGUACAGAGAGCUGUCUGGUCCAGUCCAGUCCCAACUACAGGCUAAUGAAGUCCAGGAGCGAAUCAAAUCUGUCCCUGUCUGAUGAGGAGGGAUGCACUCUGAGUGGCAGGAG